rnacentral:rRNA from 1 species
AUACGGAAGGUCCGGGCGUCAUCCGGAUUUAUUGGGUUUAAAGGGAGCGCAGGCGGAGAUGCAAGCGUGACGUCAAAUUUCGGGGCUCAACCCCGUCUCGCGUCGCGAACUGCGUCCCUUGGUUGCGGGAAGGGGAGGCGGAACUCGUGGUGUAGCGGUGAAAUGCAUAGAUAUCACGAAGAACUCCGAUCGCGAAGGCAGCCUUCCGGCCCGUCAACGACGCUCAUGCUCGAAGGUGCGGGUAUCAAACAGGAUUAGAUACCCUGGUAGUCCGCACAGUAAACGAUGGACACCCGCGGUUUGGCCUGUAUGGCUGAGCCGCCAAGCGAAAGCGUUAAGUGUCCCACCUGGGGAGUACGCCGGCAACGGUGAAACUCAAAGGAAUUGGCGGGG